GGUUGAUCCUGCCAGUAG
rnacentral:ncRNA from 4 species